rnacentral:rRNA from 1 species
ACGGGAGGCAGCAGUGGGGGAUAUUGCACAAUGGAGGAAACUCUGAUGCAGCAACGCCGCGUGAGGGAAGAAGGUCUUCGGAUUGUAAACCUCCGUUAUCAGGGACGGAACAAUGACGGUACCUGAAGAGAAAGCUCCGGCUAACUACGUGCCAGCAGCCGCGGUAAUACGUAGGGAGCGAGCGUUGUCCGGAUUUACUGGGUGUAAAGGGUGCGUAGGCGGGUCUGCAAGUCAGGCGCGAAAUACCGGGGCUUAACUCCGGGGCUGCGCUUGAAACUGUGGAUCUUGAGUGAAGUAGAGGCAAGCGGAAUUCCCAGUGUAGCGGUGAAAUGCGUAGAUAUUGGGAGGAACACCAGUGGCGAAGGCGGCUUGCUGGGCUUUAACUGACGCUGAGGCACGAAAGCGUGGGGAGCAAACAGGAUUAGAUACCCUGGUA